rnacentral:rRNA from 1 species
GCAAGUCGAACGCUUCUUUCCUCCCGAGUGCUUGCACUCAAUUGGAAAGAGGAGUGGCGGACGGGUGAGUAACACGUGGGUAACCUACCCAUCAGAGGGGGAUAACACUUGGAAACAGGUGCUAAUACCGCAUAACAGUUUAUGCCGCAUGGCAUAAGAGUGAAAGGCGCUUUCGGGUGUCGCUGAUGGAUGGACCCGCGGUGCAUUAGCUAGUUGGUGAGGUAACGGCUCACCAAGGCCACGAUGCAUAGCCGACCUGAGAGGGUGAUCGGCCACACUGGGACUGAGACACGGCCCAGACUCCUACGGGAGGCAGCAGUAGGGAAUCUUCGGCAAUGGACGAAAGUCUGACCGAGCAACGCCGCGUGAGUGAAGAAGGUUUUCGGAUCGUAAAACUCUGUUGUUAGAGAAGAACAAGGACGUUAGUAACUGAACGUCCCCUGACGGUAUCUAACCAGAAAGCCACGGCUAACUACGUGCCAGCAGCCGCGGUAAUACGUAGGUGGCAAGCGUUGUCCGGAUUUAUUGGGCGUAAAGCGAGCGCAGGCGGUUUCUUAAGUCUGAUGUGAAAGCCCCCGGCUCAACCGGGGAGGGUCAUUGGAAACUGGGAGACUUGAGUGCAGAAGAGGAGAGUGGAAUUCCAUGUGUAGCGGUGAAAUGCGUAGAUAUAUGGAGGAACACCAGUGGCGAAGGCGGCUCUCUGGUCUGUAACUGACGCUGAGGCUCGAAAGCGUGGGGAGCAAACAGGAUUAGAUACCCUGGUAGUCCACGCCGUAAACGAUGAGUGCUAAGUGUUGGAGGGUUUCCGCCCUUCAGUGCUGCAGCAAACGCAUUAAGCACUCCGCCUGGGGAGUACGACCGCAAGGUUGAAACUCAAAGGAAUUGACGGGGGCCCGCACAAGCGGUGGAGC